GGCGCGGCUCGGCGGCGGCGGUGCCGCGGCCCAUCAGACGGCCCAGGAGGCCCGGAGAUUUCUUCUCAGGCUCCGGUCCCGCCUGCGGCGC
rnacentral:tRNA from 1 species